rnacentral:rRNA from 1 species
AGAGUUUGAUCCUGGCUCAGAUUGAACGCUGGCGGCAUGCCUUACACAUGCAAGUCGAACGGUAACAGGUCUUCGGAUGCUGACGAGUGGCGAACGGGUGAGUAAUACAUCGGAACGUGCCUAGUAGUGGGGGAUAACUACUCGAAAGAGUAGCUAAUACCGCAUGAGAUCUACGGAUGAAAGCAGGGGACCGCAAGGCCUUGUGCUCCUGGAGCGGCCGAUAUCUGAUUAGCUAGUUGGUGGGGUAAAGGCCUACCAAGGCAUCGAUCAGUAGCUGGUCUGAGAGGACGACCAGCCACACUGGAACUGAGACACGGUCCAGACUCCUACGGGAGGCAGCAGUGGGGAAUUUUGGACAAUGGGCGCAAGCCUGAUCCAGCAAUGCCGCGUGAGUGAAGAAGGCCUUCGGGUUGUAAAGCUCUUUUGUCAGGGAAGAAAAGGGAUUGGCUAAUAUCUGGUCCUCAUGACGGUACCUGAAGAAUAAGCACCGGCUAACUACGUGCCAGCAGCCGCGGUAAU